rnacentral:rRNA from 1 species
AUAUUACUAAGCGGAGGAGAAGAAAUUAACUAAGAUUGCCUUAGUAAGGGCGACUGAACCGGCAAAAGCUCGAAAUUAAAAUCGGUAAUCCAAUGGAUUCCCGAAUUGUAAUCAGGGUUGCCUAAAUACGGGAGGUUUCUCAAGUGUCUCGAAAGGCACGCCAAAGAGGGUGAAAGCCCCGUGCAGGGAUCUCUCGAACAAGGUAAUUCGACGAAGAGUCGUGUUGCUUGGAACUGCAGCACUAAGUGGGAGAUAUGAUUCUUCCAAAGCUAAAUAUGGAUGGGAGACCGAUAGCGCACAAGUA